CGGAUUGAAGGCUGAAAUUCGCCUUCAUGGAGCCGGAAUUGCUAGUAAUGGCAGGUCAGCAUACUGCCGUGAAUACGUUCCCGGGCCUUGUACACACCGCCCGUCACACCAUGAGAGUUGGGAAUACCCGAAGCCUGUGAGCUAACUUUUAGAGGCAGCAGUCGAAGGUAGAAUCAAUGAUUGGGGUGAAGUCGUAACAAGGUACC
rnacentral:rRNA from 1 species